rnacentral:rRNA from 1 species
CUAUGCGCCUUGCCCAGCCCGCUCAGGUGUGCCAGCCGCGCGGUAAUACGGAGGUGCAAGCGUUAAUCGGAAUUACUGGGCGUAAAGCGCACGCAGGCGGUUUGUUAAGUCAGAUGUGAAAUCCCCGGGCUCAACCUGGGAACUGCAUCUGAUACUGGCAAGCUUGAGUCUCGUAGAGGGGGUAGAAUUCCAGGUGUAGCGGUGAAAUGCGUAGAGAUCUGGAGGAAUACCGGUGGCGAAGGCGGCCCCUGGACGAAGACUGACGCUCAGUGCGAAAGCGUGGGAGCAAACAGG